UACGGGGGGGGCAAGCGUUGUUCGGAAUUACUGGGCGUAAAGCGUGCGUAGGUGGUUCGUUAAGUCUGAUGUGAAAGCCCUGGGCUCAACCUGGGAAUGGCAUUGGAAACUGGCGACCUAGAGUGCGGUAGAGGGUAGUGGAAUUCCCGGUGUAGCAGUGAAAUGACGUAGAGAUCGGGAGGAACACCGGUGGCGAAGGCGGGUCUCUGGGCAUCUCCUGACGCUGAGGCGCGAAAGCGUGGGGAGCAAACAGG
rnacentral:rRNA from 1 species